rnacentral:rRNA from 1 species
UUAAGCGACUAAGCGUACACGGUGGAUGCCCUGGCAGUCAGAGGCGAUGAAGGACGUGCUAAUCUGCGAAAAGCGUCGGUAAGGUGAUAUGAACCGUUAUAACCGGCGAUGUCCGAAUGGGGAAACCCAGUGCAAUUCGUUGCACUAUCGUUAACUGAAUACAUAGGUUAACGAGGCGAACCGGGGGAACUGAAACAUCUAAGUACCCCGAGGAAAAGAAAUCAACCGAGAUUCCCCCAGUAGCGGCGAGCGAACGGGGAGCAGCCCAGAGUCUGAAUCAGCUUGUGUGUUAGUGGAACGGUCUGGAAAGUCCGACGGUACAGGGUGAUAGUCCCGUACACCAAAAUGCACAGGCUGUGAACUCGAAGAGUAGGGCGGGACACGUGGUAUCCUGUCUGAAUAUGGGGGGACCAUCCUCCAAGGCUAAAUACUCCUGACUGACCGAUAGUGAACCAGUACCGUGAGGGAAAGGCGAAAAGAACCCCGGCGAGGGGAGUGAAAAAGAACCUGAAACCGUGUACGUACAAGCAGUGGGAGCACCUUCGGGUGUGACUGCGUACCUUUUGUAUAAUGGGUCAGCGACUUAUAUUCUGUAGCAAGGUUAACCGUAUAGGGGAGCCGCAGGGAAACCGAGUCUUAACUGGGCGUUAAGUUGCAGGGUAUAGACCCGAAACCCGGUGAUCUAGCCAUGGGCAGGUUGAAGGUUGGGUAACACUAACUGGAGGACCGAACCGACUAAUGUUGAAAAAUUAGCGGAUGACUUGUGGCUGGGGGUGAAAGGCCAAUCAAACCGGGAGAUAGCUGGUUCUCCCCGAAAGCUAUUUAGGUAGCGCCUCGUGAAUUCAUCUUCGGGGGUAGAGCACUGUUUCGGCUAGGGGGUCAUCCCGACUUACCAACCCGAUGCAAACUACGAAUACCGAAGAAUGUUAUCACGGGAGACACACGGCGGGUGCUAACGUCCGUCGUGAAGAGGGAAACAACCCAGACCGCCAGCUAAGGUCCCAAAGUCAUGGUUAAGUGGGAAACGAUGUGGGAAGGCACAGACAGCCAGGAUGUUGGCUUAGAAGCAGCCAUCAUUUAAAGAAAGCGUAAUAGCUCACUGGUCGAGUCGGCCUGCGCGGAAGAUGUAACGGGGCUAAACCAUGCACCGAAGCUGCGGCAGCGACACUAUGUGUUGUUGGGUAGGGGAGCGUUCUGUAAGCCUGCGAAGGUGACCUGUGAGGGUUGCUGGAGGUAUCAGAAGUGCGAAUGCUGACAUAAGUAACGAUAAAGCGGGUGAAAAGCCCGCUCGCCGGAAGACCAAGGGUUCCUGUCCAACGUUAAUCGGGGCAGGGUGAGUCGACCCCUAAGGCGAGGCCGAAAGGCGUAGUCGAUGGGAAACAGGUUAAUAUUCCUGUACUUGGUGUUACUGCGAAGGGGGGACGGAGAAGGCUAUGUUAGCCGGGCGACGGUUGUCCCGGUUUAAGCAUGUAGGCUGGUUGUCCAGGCAAAUCCGGAUAAUCAAGGCUGAGGUGUGAUGACGAGGUACUACGGUGCUGAAGUAACAAAUGCCCUGCUUCCAGGAAAAGCCUCUAAGCAUCAGGUAACAUUAAAUCGUACCCCAAACCGACACAGGUGGUCAGGUAGAGAAUACCAAGGCGCUUGAGAGAACUCGGGUGAAGGAACUAGGCAAAAUGGUGCCGUAACUUCGGGAGAAGGCACGCUGGUGUGUAGGUGAAGUCCCUGCGGAUGGAGCUGAGACCAGUCGAAGAUACCAGCUGGCUGCAACUGUUUAUUAAAAACACAGCACUGUGCAAACACGAAAGUGGACGUAUACGGUGUGACGCCUGCCCGGUGCCGGAAGGUUAAUUGAUGGGGUUAUCCGUAAGGAGAAGCUCUUGAUCGAAGCCCCGGUAAACGGCGGCCGUAACUAUAACGGUCCUAAGGUAGCGAAAUUCCUUGUCGGGUAAGUUCCGACCUGCACGAAUGGCGUAAUGAUGGCCAGGCUGUCUCCACCCGAGACUCAGUGAAAUUGAACUCGCUGUGAAGAUGCAGUGUACCCGCGGCAAGACGGAAAGACCCCGUGAACCUUUACUAUAGCUUGACACUGAACAUUGAGCCUUGAUGUGUAGGAUAGGUGGGAGGCUUUGAAGCGUGGACGCCAGUCUGCGUGGAGCCAACCUUGAAAUACCACCCUUUAAUGUUUGAUGUUCUAACGUUGGCCCCUGACCGGGGUUGCGGACAGUGUCUGGUGGGUAGUUUGACUGGGGCGGUCUCCUCCCAAAGCGUAACGGAGGAGCACGAAGGUUAGCUAAUCCUGGUCGGACAUCAGGAGGUUAGUGCAAUGGCAUAAGCUAGCUUGACUGCGAGCGUGACGGCGCGAGCAGGUGCGAAAGCAGGUCAUAGUGAUCCGGUGGUUCUGAAUGGAAGGGCCAUCGCUCAACGGAUAAAAGGUACUCCGGGGAUAACAGGCUGAUACCGCCCAAGAGUUCAUAUCGACGGCGGUGUUUGGCACCUCGAUGUCGGCUCAUCACAUCCUGGGGCUGAAGUAGGUCCCAAGGGUAUGGCUGUUCGCCAUUUAAAGUGGUACGCGAGCUGGGUUUAGAACGUCGUGAGACAGUUCGGUCCCUAUCUGCCGUGGGCGCUGGAGAAUUGAGGGGGGCUGCUCCUAGUACGAGAGGACCGGAGUGGACGCAUCACUGGUGUUCGGGUUGUCAUGCCAAUGGCACUGCCCGGUAGCUAAAUGCGGAAGAGAUAAGUGCUGAAAGCAUCUAAGCACGAAACUUGCCCCGAGAUGAGUUCUCCCUGAGACUUUAAGUCUCCUGAAGGAACGUUGAAGACGACGACGUUGAUAGGCCGGGUGUGUAAGCGCAGCGAUGCGUUGAGCUAACCGGUACUAAUGAACCGUGAGGCUUAACCUU